CAAUACUCGCAGCACGCGGGUCGCACAAAAGCGUUUCAAGCUCUUUUCAAUAAAUGCUUUUCUUCUUGAAGUUCCUAUCGGUUCCGGGCAUUAGUGUUCGUAAGAAAUGUUCGUCUCUUUGUCGAACGCCGUACCCAUACGGAACAAUUCACUUGAUGUUGCGCCAAACCAAUCGCGGACGUUUAAUACGACCAAAUAAUAUCCUUAUUUUUCGAACACUUCUUAUCCCUUGAAACAUUUUACUACAGUUGCAGCAGGCAAUCCGUGUCUUCGGGCGUUACUCGUCGCGCGGUCCGGGUAUUGUACAGUUUCC